rnacentral:rRNA from 2 species
UGGGGAAUCUUGCACAAUGGGCGCAAGCCUGAUGCAGCAACGUCGCGUGAGUGAAGAAGGCUUUCGAGUUGUAAAGCUCUUUCAGCUGGGGGGAAGGGCACUGAGGCAAAUAGUCUCGGUGCUUGACAUUACCAGCAGAAGAAGCACUGGCUAACUCCGUGCCAGCAGCCGCGGUAAUACGGAGAGUGCGAGCGUUGUUCGGAAUUACUGGGCGUAGAGUGCGAGUAGGCGGGCUGGUAAGUCGAUUGUGAAAUCCCGGAGCUCAACUUCGGAAUUGCAGUCGAAACUGUCGGUCUUGAAUGCCUGAGAGGGUGGUGGAAUUCUUGGUGUAGAAGUGAAAUUUGUAGAUAUCAGGAGGAACACUUGUGGCGAAGGCGGCCACCUGGUGGUGCAUUGACGCUGAGUCGCGAAAGCGUGGGGAGCAAACAGG